CAUUAGACCUGAUGGGAGUGGAAAUCCCUUUUGGGUUAGACAGGUUUGUUUCAUUAAAUAUUUCUUCCAAAAGGAUUGCAACAAACAGCAGGACCGAAC
rnacentral:sRNA from 2 species